rnacentral:tRNA from 1 species
UCCCUAGUAGCUCAGUAGGUAGAGAUUCUGCUUACAAUAGCAGGAGAUCCGGGUUCGAUCCCUGGGUUGGGAA